AUUCCAGCUCCAAUAGCGCAUAUUAAUGUUGUUGCAGUUAAAAAGCUCGUAGUUGAAUUUCUGGUUAAAAUCUUAGCUGGCUUUGGUCGUUGAUGUUUUAAUCAUCCGUUAGAGAACUAUAACCGUCCUUAACUGGUCAUUAUAGAGAUCUAACAUUUUACUUUGAAAAAAUUAGAGUGUUCAAGGCAGGCAAUCGUCAUGAAUACUAUAGCAUGGAAUAAUGGAAUAGGACUUUGGUUCAUUUUAUUGGUUAUUGAACCUUAGUAAUGAUUAGCAGGGACAGUUGGGGGCAUUAGUAUUUAAUUGUCAGAGGUGAAAUUCUUGGAUUUAUUAAAGACUAACUUAUGCGAAAGCAUUUGCCAAGGAUGUUUUCAUCA
rnacentral:rRNA from 1 species